rnacentral:rRNA from 1 species
UGGUGGCGAUAGCGAAGAGGUCACACCCGUUCCCAUGCCGAACACGGAAGUUAAGCUCUUCAGCGCCGAUGGUAGUUGGGGGUCUCCCCCUGUGAGAGUAGGACGCCGCCA